GGAUUAGAUACCCUGGUAGUCCACACCGUAAACGAUGUCUACUAGCUGUUUGUGUAUUUAAUACGUGAGUAGCGCAGCUAACGCGCUAAGUAGACCGCCUGGGGAGUACGGCCGCAAGGUUAAAACUCAAAUGAAUUGACGGGGGCCCGCACAAGCGGUGGAGCAUGUGGUUUAAUUCGAUGCAACGCGAAGAACCUUACCAUCCCUUGACAUCCUUGAAAGAAAGUGGAGACAUUUUUGUGCCUUCGGGAAUCAAGUGACAGGUGCUGCAUGGCUGUCGUCAGCUCGUGCCG
rnacentral:rRNA from 1 species